rnacentral:misc_RNA from 1 species
UUAGCCAAGCUACUCCAACCUCCCCAGGACACUUCCAUACUUCUAGGGGAAUACCAUAUGGGCCGAAGCUCUCCCUAUUUUCAUAUUCUUCAAGGCCUCUUUAACUUUGGUAAAUCUAAUGUUGUGAGUGUAGUUAAGAUUCUUCUCUAUCGAAUUAAGAUCUAUAAAGUCAUCCUCAUGACCCGCAUUGAACAACUUACAAAAGUAGCAUCUCCAUCUUUCUUUAAUCUCAUAAUCUCCAGACAAAGCUUGUUGAUUAUCAUCCUUAAUGCACUUGACUUGAUUUAGA